rnacentral:rRNA from 1 species
GAUGAACGCUAGCGGCAGGCCUAACACAUGCAAGUCAGGGGUAACAUGAAAAAGCUUGCUUUUCUGAUGACGACCGGCGCACGGGUGCGUAACGCGUAUACAACCUACCUUUUAGCGGGGAAUAGCCCAGGGAAACUUGGAUUAAUGCCCCAUAGUAUAUAGACUUCUCCUGAAGUUUAUAUUAAACAUUUAUGGCUAUUAGAUGGGUAUGCGUCCUAUUAGUUAGUUGGUAAGGUAACGGCUUACCAAGGCAGCGAUAGGUAGGGGUCCUGAGAGGGAGAUCCCCACACUGGUACUGAGACACGGACCAGACUCCUACGGGAGGCAGCAGUGAGGAAUAUUGGACAAUGGGCGAGAGCCUGAUCCAGCCAUGCCGCGUGCAGGAAGACUGCCCUAUGGGUUGUAAACUGCUUUUACAGAGGAAGAACCACCCCCACGUGUGGGGGUUUGACGGUACUCUGCGAAUAAGGAUCGGCUAACUCCGUG